UUUGAAAUCUGGCCCCCAGGGUCCGAGUUGUAAUUUGUAGAGGAUGCUUUGGGCGAGGUGCCUUCCGAGUUCCCUGGAACGGGACGCCACAGAGGGUGAGAGCCCCGUAUGGUCGGACACCGAGCCUCUGUAAAGCUCCUUCGACGAGUCGAGUAGUUUGGGAAUGCUGCUCAAAAUGGGAGGUAUAUGUCUUCUAAAGCUAAAUAUUGGCCAGAGACCGAUAGCGCACAAGUAGAGUGAUCGAAAGAUGAAAAGCACUUUGAAAAGAGGGUUAAAAAGUACGUGAAAUUGUUGAAAGGGAAGCGCCCAUGACCAGACUUGGGCCCGGUGAAUCAUCCAGCGUUCUCGCCGGUGCACUUUGCCGGGCACAGGCCAGCAUCAGUUUGGGGCGGGGGACAAAGGCUCUGGGAAUGUGGCUCCCCCGGGAGUGUUAUAGCCCACCGCGUAAUACCCUGCGCCGGACUGAGGUACGCGCAUUCGCAAGGAUGCUGGCGUAAUGGUCAUCAGCGACCCGUCUUGAAACACGGACCAAGGAGUCGUCUUCGUAUGCGAGUGUUCGGGUGUCAAACCCCUACGCGGAAUGAAAGUGAACGCAGGUGAGAGCUUCGGCGCAUCAUCGACCGAUCCUGAUGUUCUCGGAUGGAUUUGAGUAAGAGCAUACGGGGCCGGACCCGAAAGAAGGUGAACUAUGCCUGUAUAGGGUGAAGCCAGAGGAAACUCUGGUGGAGGCUCGCAGCGGUUCUGACGUGCGAAUCGAUCGUCAAAUAUGGGCAUGGGGGCGAAAGACUAAUCGAACCUUCUAGUAGCUGGUUUC
rnacentral:rRNA from 1 species